rnacentral:lncRNA from 10 species
CUUCCUUUUUCUCUUUUUUUGAGACAGAGUCUUCCUCUGCUGCUCAGGCCGGAGUGCAGUCAUGACAUCUUGGCUCACUGUAGCCUUCGCCUCAUGGGUUCAAGUGAUUCUCCUGCCUCAGCCUCCCGAGUAGCUGGAACUAUAGGUCUGUGCCACCACGCCCACCUAGUUUUUGUAUUUUUAGUAGAGAUGGGGUUUCACCAUGUUGGCCAGGCUGGUCUGGAGCUCCUGACCUCAAGCGAUCUGCCUGCCUCGGCCUCCCAAAGUGCUGGGAUUACAGGCGUGAGCCACCGCGCCUGGCUGAAUUCCGUCAUUUUCUUCCUGGGUGAGUGAAUUUCAAUUAAGUGCCUUCUCUCUUUGUGAAUUUCUCUUUGUUUUCCCCAGGAGCCAUAGCUGCAAGCAGCACUUCUCUGAGAACUUGGCACUUAGUGGUAUCAGCAAGGCAAAGCCCUUGGGACCAUUUGGCUCACACCUGCAGCUGUCACACUCUAUCCUCAGCUCUUAGGAAAAGGAGUUUGAAGAGCAUUUCAGCACCUAGCCCUGCCCGUGGGCCCUGUGGACCACGACACAGGUCUGGAGGAGGAGUUCUUGGUAGAAUUUACCUCUAAAAAGUAUUGUACUUAGUGAGCUUGGCCUUGGGGUGCAAGGAAAGAUUUUCAGACGAUAAUAGCAGAAAGUAUUUUUAGUAUCCCCGAUUUCGACCGUUUCUGUUUCCACUUGCCUGUGUAUCAGAAAUUGCAUCGGGCAGAGCCAACAGAGACUGGAAGUUACAAUUGCUUAAUGAAAAAGCAAUGUAUUCAUUUAUUUUUCUAAAGAAAUAGAAGCAUGGAGGUAGUAGUUCUGGGCUGGCUGGAAGUUUGUUCUGUUUUCCUUUUCUACCAUCCUUCCUGCAUGGCUCCCAUCUUCAAGGCUCCCCCGAUCUCUGGCCAACCCUGAGCCUGAGCUAGCAUACACUCUUGAGAACAGGCUGGCUUCAGGGUGAAAUAUUCUUGGAUCCGUUAUCUGAUUAUGUUACCCUUUCAUCCCACUUCCUCAUUCCUACUUUUCUCUAGCUUUGCUUAUCUUUCUCUGUGAAAGGAGGCACUUUUGCCUAAUCCUUAUUUAUUUAUUUAUUUAUUUAUUUAUUUAUUUAUUUAUUUAUUUUUGAGACAGAGUCUCACUCUGUUGCACAGGCUGGAGUGCAGUGGUGCAAUCUCGGCUCAUCGCAAUCUCUGCCACCCGGGUUCAAGUGAUUCUCCUGUUUCAGUCUCCUGAGUAGCUGGGAUUAGAAGCACCCGGCACCAUGCCUGGCUAAUUUUUGUAUUUUUAGUAGAGACGGGGUUUUACCAUGUUGACCAGACAGGUCUUGAACUGCUGACCUCAGGUGAUCCACCCACGUUGGAUGGAUGACACUUCCCAUGUUUGAGGGAGAGGGUAAUCUGAGCCAAAUGUAGCCUCUUAGUGCCAUGACAAACUGGAGAUUUUCUGAGGGUUCAGUAAGCUAAUACAUGCAAAGCACUUAGAACAAUGCCUGGGAUAUAGUACGUGCUCAAUAAAUGUAAGCUGACAUUGUCAUCUUCACUAUCAUUAUCAGGCUCUCUAGAUCUCCUAGUACAAAGAGGACUUGCUCAAAGGCAGGCAGUUAGAAAUUCAUUAUGAAAGACAAUUCACUAAAGCACUGCAAAAGCAGAGAUCUUGUCUGGCUUUAUUCUACUGUAUCCUCUGCACCUCUGCCACUGGGAGAGCCACCGCGCCUGGCCUUAACAAUUUUUAUAGGUACUUAGUGGGUGCAUAUAUUGAUAGGGUACAUGAAGUAUUUUGAUACAGACAUACAAUGCGUAAUAAUCAUAUUAGGGUAAGUGGGGUAUCCAUCACUUCAAGUAUUUAUCCUUCCUUUGUGUUACAAACAAACCAAUUAUACUCUUUUAGUUAUUUAAAGAUAUAGAAAAAAUUAUUGUUGACUGUAGUCACCCAGUUGUGCUGUCAAAUAGUAGGUCUUAUUCAUUUUGUUUAACUAUAUUUUUAUACCCAUUAACCACCCUCAAACCCCUUCAACAUGCGCCACCCCCACCACCCCCACUACCAUUUCCAGCCCCUGCUAACCACCCUUCUACUCUCUUUCCAUGAAUUCAAUUGUUUUAAUUUUUAGCUCUCACAAAUAAGUGAGAACAUGCAAAGUUUGUCUUUCUGUGCCUGGCUUAUUUCACUUAACAUAAUGACCUCCAGUUCAUCCAUGUUGUUGCAAAUAACAGGAUCUCAUUCUUUUUUUAAGGCUGAAUAGUAUUCCGUUGUGUAUAUGUACCACAUUUUCUUUAUCCAUUCGUCUGUUGAUGGACAUUUAGGUUGCUUCCACAUCUUGGCUAUUGUCAAUAAUGCUGCAAUAAACAAAAGAGUGUAGAUAUCUCUUCCAAAUACUGAUUUCUUUUCUUUUGGGUGUAUACCUGGCAGUGGGAUUGCUGGAUCAUAUGGUAGAUCAGUUCUUAGAUUUGAGGAACCUCCAAACUGUUCUCCAUAGUGGUUGUACUAAUUUACACUCUCACAAGAAGUGUGCAAGAGUUUCCUUUUCUCCACAUCUUGGCCAGCAUUUAUUACUGCCUGUAGACUAACUCUGGAACUGUGUGGAUUUUAUGGUCAGAGUGUUCUUCCUGUUGCAAUAGUCCCCCUACUCCUAUUGCGAUUGUCCUCUUCCUCCUCCUAGUGGAAUAGUCUCCUGCCCCCAUUGCAAGAGUCCUUUUCCUACCUUCCUGCCCAACACAGUGUGCAAUAACCCUUUUGAACAGAAGUCUCUUCUUGCUAAGUCCAGAUUUCUUUUUUCCUUGACAGCCCCUAAGUCCUGGGGGCACUGGGCAGGCACCUGAGGACCUGAGUGAACAAGAAGGCUGGAUGCAGAUUUUUCUCCUUGACACUGUGGCAAAGCAAAGCUGAAUCACUGCUCUCCCAUGCUGGUGAUGCUCUCCUGUUAAUCUUCUCUCUCUUAAGGGCCCCAGGAAGUAUGAAGGCAGGUUGGCAUAAGGACCCUGAAUAGCCUCUAUAGCUGAUUCUUCAGGGAUGCUUUAUGAAACCCUCAAGAAUAGGAUAUAGGACACAUGGCUUCCCCAAAUGAUUUGACCACGGAACAGGUAUUUGUCAAACGCCUGGAAGUAUCACAUGGAACAGUUUGGGAAAUGCAGUUCUAAAGCUUUUUCUAUCUCCUUCUGCAAUUGCCUAAUGCACUGUGUGGAUGACAAGGUCUGCCUUGGGGGCAGGGGAGAUGGAGACUUCGGGGCUGGUGGCCAAGGCUGGAAGGUGGCAUCAGACACACUGAGUGUCAGGCAUUCUCUCUCUUUAAGUGGGAGGUGUGCCAAGUAGCCUCUUCCCUUGAGGGAGCACAGUAAAUGGGUCAGAUUUCCCAAUGGGAAGAUGCUGUGUUUAAGACACAUUUGAUUUACAUCAGCUUCGGCUGUGACCUUGGCUUUCCAGUUUGCAAGUCAUGUCACCAGGGUAUCUGACUAAUGCGCGGUUGUGAAUUUUUCAUGGCAAGGCAUGUAUUUGUGCUAUCGGACUCCUGGGCAAGGAAAAAAGCAUGGCAUGUCAAGAGCGACAUAAAUUGUUAGGUAAAUCUUUAUUCCCUCUGGACCUCCCUGCGAAGUCCCGUUAUUCGUGUCCCACUCAACCAUUCGUUCAUUUACAAACAUUUAUUGAGCAACUUCCAUUUCUAAGUACUGUGGGGAAUACAAGGAUGUAUAAACCAAUGUGGUGACAUUGGUGUCCUGGUAGCAGGUGUGAACGUGAGAGGAGGGGAAAAAGGCUUUGAGAAGGGAUCCCUCCUUGGAGUGAAUAUUGAGGCAUCUGGAGCCUGAAUUGAACAUGCUUAUCUUGUAAAUACAAGUCAUCUAAGUCCUGUAAUACUCACCUCUAGGGGCACCCUAAGCCAUCAUAGGGCAGGUGUCCUGUUGGGUUCAAAUCUCAGCCAAGUAACCUUCAGCAAGUCUCCUAAAACUUUAGGACCUAACCCCUGAUCUGUAAAAGGAGGAGGUUAAAAUAGAUCAUUCUUAAAGUUUAUUUGGCUUCGAAAUAAUAUAAUUUAGAGAUAGAGACAGAUACAUACAGUUGUACAGUUGACUUUUUUUUUUUUUUUUGAGACAGUCUUGCUCUGUCACCCAGGCUGGAGUGCAGUGGCACUCGGCUUACCACAACCUCCACCUCCUGGAUUCAAGCCAUUCUCAUGCUUCGGCCUCCAGAGUAGCUGGGACUAGAGGUGCAUGCCACAGCGCCUGACUACUUUUUUGUAUUUUUAGUAGAGACAAGGCUUCGCCAUGUUGGCCAGGCUGGUCUUGAACGCCUGACCUCAAAUGAUCCACCUGCCUCGGCCUCCCAAAGUGCUGGGAUUACAGGCUUGAGCCACCUCACCCACCCUACAGUUGACUCUUGAACAAUGCAGAAAGGAGUUAGGGGCAUGGAGUCCCAUGCAGUCAAAAACAUUUGAAACCCCUCAUCCCAGCCCACAACUUUACUAAUAGCCUACUGAUAUGAUUUGGGUCUGUGUCCUCACCCAAAUUUUAUGUCAAAUGGUAAUCCCCAAUGUUGGAAGGGGGUCUGGGGGUAGGUGAUUGGAUCAUGGGGGCUGAUUUCCCCUUUGGAGCCGUUCUCCUGAUAGUGAGUGAGUUGUCCUGAGAUCUGGUUGUUUAAAAGUGUGUGGCACCUCUGCUCUCUCUCUCUCCGUCCUGUUCUGGCCAUUUAAGAUGUGCCUGCUUCUCCUUCACCUUCCGGCCAUGAUUGUAAAUUUGCUGAGUCAUGCUUCUUGUACAGCCUGCAGAACUGUGAGCCAAUUAAAACUCUUUUCUUUAUGAGUUACCAAGUCUCAGGUAAUUAUUUAUAGCAGUGCAAGAACGGACUGAUACACCCACUAUUGACUGGAAGCCUUACCAAUAACGUAGGUGAAAAG